rnacentral:rRNA from 1 species
AGGGCGCACGGUGGAUGCCUUGGCACUAGAAGCCGAUGAAGGACGUGACUAACGACGAAAUGCUUUGGGGAGCUGUAAGUGAGCAAUGAUCCAGAGAUGUCCGAAUGGGGGAACCCGGCAGGUAAUGCCUGUCACUCAUUACUGUUAAGGUAAUGUAGAGGAAGACGCAGUGAACUGAAACAUCUAAGUAGCUGCAGGAAGAGAAAGCAAAAGCGAUUGCCUUAGUAGCGGCGAGCGAAACGGCAGGAGGGCAAACCGAAGAGUUUACUCUUCGGGGUUGUAGGACUGCAAUGUGGACUUAAAGAUUAUAGAAGAAUGACAUGGGAAGGUCAGCCAAAGAGAGUAAGAGCCUCGUAUUCGAAAUAGUCUUUAUACCUAGCAGUAUCCUGAGUACGGCGGGACACGAGAAAUCCCGUCGGAAUCUGGGAGGACCAUCUCCCAACCCUAAAUACUCUCUAGUGACCGAUAGUGAACCAGUACCGUGAGGGAAAGGUGAAAAGCACCCCGGGAGGGGAGUGAAAUAGAACCUGAAACCGUGUGCCUACAACAAGUUCGAGCCCGUUAAUGGGUGAGAGCGUGCCUUUUGUAGAAUGAACCGGCGAGUUACGAUAUGAUGCGAGGUUAAGUUGAAGAGACGGAGCCGUAGGGAAACCGAGUCUGAAUAGGGCGCAUUAGUAUCAUGUCGUAGACCCGAAACCAUGUGACCUACCCAUGAGCAGGUUGAAGGUGAGGUAAAACUCACUGGAGGACCGAACCAGGGCACGUUGAAAAGUGCUUGGAUGACUUGUGGGUAGCGGAGAAAUUCCAAACGAACUUGGAGAUAGCUGGUUCUCUCCGAAAUAGCUUUAGGGCUAGCGUCGAUGUUAAGUCUCUUGGAGGUAGAGCACUGUUUGGGUGAGGGGUCCAUCCCGGAUUACCAAUCUCAGAUAAACUCCGAAUGCCAAUGAGAUAUAAUCGGCAGUCAGACUGCGAGUGCUAAGAUCCGUAGUCGAAAGGGAAACAGCCCAGACCACCAGCUAAGGUCCCAAAAUAUAUGUUAAGUGGAAAAGGAUGUGGGGUUGCACAGACAACUAGGAUGUUAGCUUAGAAGCAGCUAUUCAUUCAAAGAGUGCGUAAUAGCUCACUAGUCGAGUGACCCUGCGCCGAAAAUGUACCGGGGCUAAAACAUAUUACCGAAGCUGUGGAUACCUUUAUAGGUAUGGUAGGAGAGCGUUCUAUGUGCGAAGAAGGUGUACCGUGAGGAGUGCUGGAGCGCAUAGAAGUGAGAAUGCCGGUAUGAGUAGCGAAAGACAGGUGAGAAUCCUGUCCACCGUAAGACUAAGGUUUCCAGGGGAAGGCUCGUCCGCCCUGGGUUAGUCGGGACCUAAGGAGAGACCGAAAGGUGUAUCCGAUGGACAACAGGUUGAUAUUCCUGUACUAGAGUAUGUAGUGAUGGAGGGACGCAGUAGGCUAACUAAAGCAGACGAUUGGAAGUGUCUGUCUAAGCAGUGAGGUGUGAUAUGAGUCAAAUGCUUAUAUCUAUAACAUUGAGCUGUGAUGGGGAGCGAAGUUUAGUAGCGAAGUUAGUGAUGUCACACUGCCAAGAAAAGCUUCUAGCGUUAAACAUACUCUACCCGUACCGCAAACCGACACAGGUAGUCGAGGCGAGUAGCCUCAGGUGAGCGAGAGAACUCUCGUUAAGGAACUCGGCAAAAUGACCCCGUAACUUCGGGAGAAGGGGUGCUGGCUUUAAGUCAGCCGCAGUGAAUAGGCCCAAGCAACUGUUUAUCAAAAACACAGCUCUCUGCUAAAUCGUAAGAUGAUGUAUAGGGGGUGACGCCUGCCCGGUGCUGGAAGGUUAAGAGGAGUGCUUAGCGUAAGCGAAGGUAUGAAUUGAAGCCCCAGUAAACGGCGGCCGUAACUAUAACGGUCCUAAGGUAGCGAAAUUCCUUGUCGGGUAAGUUCCGACCCGCACGAAAGGCGUAAUGAUUUGGGCACUGUCUCAACGAGAGACUCGGUGAAAUUUUAGUACCUGUGAAGAUGCAGGUUACCCGCGACAGGACGGAAAGACCCCAUGGAGCUUUACUGCAGUUUGAUAUUGAGUGUCUGUGCCACAUGUACAGGAUAGGUAGGAGCCAUAGAGAUCGGGACGCCAGUUUCGAUGGAGGCGUUGUUGGGAUACUACCCUUGUGUUAUGGCCACUCUAACCCGGUAGGUUUAUCAUCUACGGAGACAGUGUCUGACGGGCAGUUUGACUGGGGCGGUCGCCUCCUAAAAGGUAACGGAGGCGCCCAAAGGUUCCCUCAGAAUGGUUGGAAAUCAUUCGUAGA